rnacentral:rRNA from 1 species
CAAUAGCGUAUAUUAAAGUUGUUGCGGUUAAAAAGCUCGUAGUUGGAUUUCUGUUGGGAACGACCGGUCCGCCCAUUGGGUGUGUAUCUGGCUUGUUCUCGGCAUCUUCUUGGUGAACGUUGCUGCACUUGACUGUGUGGAGCGCUACCCAGGACUUUUACUUUGAGGAAAUUAGAGUGUUUCAAGCAGGCAUAUGCCUUGAAUACAUUAGCAUGGAAUAAUAAGAUAGGACCACGGUUCUAUUUUGUUGGUUUCUAGAGCUGAGGUAAUGAUUAAUAGGGAUAGUUGGGGGCAUUCGUAUUUAACUGUCAGAGGUGAAAUUCUUGGAUUUGUUAACGACGGACUACUGCGAAAGCAUUUGCCAAGGAUGUUUUCAUUGA